GGUAGCCAUUGAGAAAUCCCCAUGGGUGAAUUUUCUCUACUUUCCUGUGAUACAAUAUUCACACGUUAUAAUGAUGUUAACAAUGUGACCUAUCAAUUAACCACUUUCCUUCCCCUUGGGUUCUAAAUGGUUGAGUGUAGAUAUCUGGAUUCAAAGGUGAUAAGGUUGUUCUCCUAAGAACAAGGCUGUCUGGUGUUCAAUUUGAAACGGCUCAUAUAGUCCUUUUCUCUCCCUUCUUUCCCCAGACUUCUUAGUAAUAUCAAAUACACACCCAAAUGGCCCCCAAGAAUGAUUUCAUCCUGGAAAACACAAGAUCUCUUUCUAAUUUCUAUGUCAACAGGAAGUGGGGGAGAGAAGGAAUUGACGUUGGAUGGAGACAAGAUAAAUACAAUGACUACAAAGCAAUUUGAGAAGUAAAUGAGCCAUCACAAGCAGAGUUCCUUGCAAGGCUGACUCUAGGCAAACCUGUUGAGUCGACAUUUGUGGUGGCACCUUCAGUUUUCUCCAGCCUCGUUGCAACUGGUGGGCUCUUUCCACUCCUUCAUGCAGACGCUCUGCCUUCGCCCUCCAUCAACACCUUCCUGUAGGGAAGGAGCUGGAUCUCAUCU
rnacentral:lncRNA from 13 species